rnacentral:rRNA from 1 species
AUUGAACGCUGGCGGCAGGCCUAACACAUGCAAGUCGAGCGGAGCGACGGACGGACGGGUGAUGAAUAGGAAGCUGACUGGUAGUGGGGGAGGACGACCGACAACGGGCGCUAAUAAAGACUACUAUCAGAUGAGCCUGGGUGGGAUUGGCUAGUUGGUGGGGUAACGGCCUACCCAGGCGACCAACCGUAGCUGGUCUGAGAGGAUGAUCAGUCACACUGGAACUGAGACACGGUCCAGACUCCUACGGGAGGCAGCAGUGGGGAAUAUUGGACAAUGGGCGAAAGCCUGAUGCAGCCAUGCCGCGUGUGUGAAGAAGGUCUUCGGAUUGUAAAGCACUUUAAGUUGGGAGGCGUUACCAACAGAAUAAGCACCGGCUAACUCCGUGCCAGCAGCCGCGGUAAUAC